AGAUGUGAAAUCCCCGGGCUUAACCUGGGAAUGGCAUUUUGAACUGGCAGUCUAGAGUGCGUCAGAGGGGGGUGGAAUUCCACGUGUAGCAGUGAAAUGCGUAGAGAUGUGGAGGAACACCGAUGGCGAAGGCAGCCCCCUGGGAUGACACUGACGCUCAUGUACGAAAGCGUGGGUAGCAAACAGGAUUAGAUACCCUGGUAGUCCACGCCCUAAACGAUGUCAACUGGUUGUUGGGGGAGUGGAAUCCCUUAGUAACGAAGCUAACGCGUGAAGUUGACCGCCUGGGGAGUACGGUCGCAAGAUUAAAACUCAAAGGAAUUGACGGGGACCCGCACAAGCGGUGGAUGAUGUGGAUUAAUUCGAUGCAACGCGAAAAACCUUACCUACCCUUGACAUGUCCGGAACCCUGCAGAGAUGCGGGAGUGCCCGAAAGGGAAUCGGAACACAGGUGCUGCAUGGCUGUCGUCAGCUCGUGUCGUGAGAUGUUGGGUUAAGUCCCGCAACGAGCGCAACCCUUAUCAUUGGUUGCUACGCAAGGGCACUCUAAUGAGACUGCCGGUGACAAACCGGAGGAAGGUGGGGAUGACGUCAAGUCCUCAUGGCCCUUAUGGGUAGGGCUUCACACGUCAUACAAUGGUCGGUACAGAGGGUUGCCAAGCCGCGAGGUGGAGCCAAUCCCAGAAAGCCGAUCGUAGUCCGGAUUGUUCUCUGCAACUCGAGAGCAUGAAGUCGGAAUC
rnacentral:rRNA from 1 species